rnacentral:rRNA from 1 species
UAGGCUGCAACUCGCCUACACGAAGCUGGAAUCGCUAGUAAUCGCGGAUCAGCACGCCGCGGUGAAUACGUUCCCGGGCCUUGUACACACCGCCCGUCACACCAUGGGAGCCGGUAAUACCCGAAGUCAGUAGUCCAACCUCGUGAGGACGCUGCCGAAGGUAGGAUUGGCGACUGGGGUGAAGUCGUAACAAGGUACC